GACGAACGCUGGCGGCGUGCCUAAUGCAUGCAAGUCGAGCGAAGUUUUUCUGGUGCUUGCACUAGAAAAACUUAGCGGCGAACGGGUGAGUAACACGUAAAGAACCUGCCUCAUAGACUGGGACAACUAUUGGAAACGAUAGCUAAUACCGGAUAACAGUAUUUCUCGCAUGAGAGAUAUUUAAAAGUUGGUUAUGCUAACACUAUGAGAUGGCUUUGCGGUGCAUUAGCUAGUUGGUGGGGUAAAGGCCCACCAAGGCGACGAUGCAUAGCCGACCUGAGAGGGUGAUCGGCCACACUGGGACUGAGACACGGCCCAGACUCCUACGGGAGGCAGCAGUAGGGAAUCUUCCGCAAUGGGCGAAAGCCUGACGGAGCAACGCCGCGUGAGUGAAGAAGGAUUUCGGUUCGUAAAGCUCUGUUGUUAGGGAAGAAUGGAUAUGUAGUAACUAUACAUGUAAGAGACGGUACCUAACCAGAAAGCCACGGCUAACUACGUG
rnacentral:rRNA from 1 species